GAUCUGGGAGCCGAAAAGGAGUUGGAAAGAUCCUCGGUUGGCAUCGAUGCUCCUGUCCUGUGAACGGAGCUGGGGCGCUUCACACCGGCGGAGGAUCUCUCCCCAGGGAUUUUUGCUGCGCCACUGAUGCAGGAGUCCUUUGGACUGUGCUUUUAAAACCUGCCUCAGGCCCUGAAAUUGCAAUGAAAUAUUCCUCCUCUCGCUCUGCCCCUGCUUCUGUCGCAGGCCUCUCGUGUGACCUUCUGCAAGGCUUGCAGAUCUUUGUAGCCUCAACUCUGAUCUGAUCUGAAGGUAUUAAUGUUUGUUCCCAAGAGCUCCCAAUGUAACUGAUGGCAAAAUGUACCCCAGCAGUGCUUUAACAUCUUCUAUCAAUUGCAGAUAUAGGACUUCUUGCCUCUUAGAGGGUCUGGAAAGACCAGCCUCCCCCCYUCCCAGGCCUGAGGCGAGGUGGCCUUGGAGCCAGUGAAUUUCUUUGCUGUCCUUUGAACUGGGCUCUCAACUGUAYCCAGUCAAGGCUGGUGAUUUCCAGAGCAGCAUCUCCCUGUUGAGACAGGUCUUGUCGUAUAGCUGCUAUUGGAACCGCCUGAGGGAAGCGGAGUAGGAGAAAACACAGAAGAUAYUGCAGAGUUAAUUUGCUUUGCAUGGUGGCCCAGGUAACUGGGUUCUGUUAUUUUGCAGAAACUGCAGCCUGAGURCRAGGUGAAUGAGGUAUCUGGCUUUGYCCCCUGGAGCUGAAGGCUGUCUUCUGAAACAGGCUUGAAACGGAGCUUCAGUUCCUGUACGCACAGAUGCUGCUGCACGUAAGUGUUACUAGAGCGCUGUGUCUCUGUGCCCCGUUUCAUACGUUUAAAGGAUAUGUGGUUAUAGCAACCUGCCGCUGUCAAUGCACAAUGUAACAGUCAAUACACAGAGCAACAAUGGAGAGAAUGCCACUGUGAUAUAUAUAUAGAGCCAUCGUCCUCUGUGAACAGUGGCAAUUAGAGGGCCACCUGCCUAGCACUGUUUAAAAAGAGCGAUUGA
rnacentral:lncRNA from 1 species